AAGCUGGAAAUAAUUUAUAUGUGUAAAAGCUUAUUUAUGGAGUUCGACUGGAAAAAAUGAAAACAGAAUAUCGGCGUUUGGGCGUCGUUGAUAAGGGUACCUUCGACAAGUGCAAGAUUUUUGUGUCGAGACAAAACUCCAGAAACUGCAAUGAAGAUUCGCCGAAAGAAUGCAAUAUACAUUCAGAACAUAAUGAAAAAGAUCACCAACCUAACCAGUCGUGUGGAGUGUUUAAAUGUAGCUGUCACGUGACAUACCAGAAGGUUAAAUCAAACAGUUUACCUACUAUUAACAAUCCACAUACCAAUGUAUUGAAAACUCCGUUUAGUAAAAGAUCAUUGCCCUCGCCAAGAAACAAAAUUGAAAAGGUCCAAGCAUCGUUUCAAUCUGCCGAAGAAGGAAACCGUUCAGGUCCAGUUUUAGACUCCAUUGACUUCCUCGUGGACAUUGAAACCAGGAGUAGAUCUGGCACAUAUUCAUCAGUCCACUCAACGCGAUUGUUCAAAUUAUUUCCAAAAUUUGGAAUGUGUGGAAAAAUUUCUGUUAUUAUCAUGAUACUCUUUAUUAUUUGCUUCAUGAUCAAAACAUUCUUAACUUUCAAAACUUAGAUUUCAGGUAAAAAUUAACCUUUUCACAUUAUGAA